rnacentral:rRNA from 1 species
CAAAGGAGUGAUCCGGCAGAGGAUGGACAUGCGGCGCAUUAGCUAGUCGGCGGGGUAACGGCCCACCGAGGCUACGAUGCGUAGGGGUUCUGAGAGGAAGGUCCCCCACACUGGUACUGAGACACGGACCAGACUCCUACGGGAGGCAGCAGUGAGGAAUAUUGGUCAAUGGGCGGAAGCCUGAACCAGCCAAGUCGCGUGAGGGAAGACGGUCCUAUGGAUUGUAAACCUCUUUUGCAGGGGAGCAAGGCGCGGUACGUGUACCGCGAAGGAGAGUACCCUGAGAAAAAGCAUCGGCUAACUCCGUGCCAGCAGCCGCGGUAAUACGGAGGAUGCGAGCGUUAUCCGGAUUUAUUGGGUUUAAAGGGUGCGCAGGCGGACUGUUAAGUCAGCGGUAAAAUGUCGGUGCUCAACACCGGCCGGCCGUCGAAACUGGCAGCCUUGAGUGAGCGAGAAGUAUGCGGAAUGCGUGGUGUAGCGGUGAAAUGCAUAGAUAUCACGCAGAACUCCGAUUGCGAAGGCAGCAUACCGGCGCUCAACUGACGCUCAGGCACGAAAGCGUGGGUAUCGAACAGGCUUAGAUACCCUGGUAGUCCACGCAGUAAACGAUGAAUGCUCACUGUCCGGGCCGUUUAAGGCCUGG